rnacentral:rRNA from 1 species
UACAGAGGUCUCAAGCGUUGUUCGGAUUCAUUGGGCGUAAAGGGUGCGUAGGCGGCGCAGUAAGUCGGGUGUGAAAUUUCGGAGCUUAACUCCGAAACUGCAUUCGAUACUGCGGUGCUUGAGGACUGGAGAGGAGACUGGAAUUCAUGGUGUAGCAGUGAAAUGCGUAGAGAUCAUGAGGAAGACCAGUGGCGAAGGCGGGUCUCUGGACAGUUCCUGACACUGAGACACGAAGGCCAGGGGAGCAAACGGG